rnacentral:rRNA from 1 species
AGAGUUUGAUCCUGGCUCAGGACGAACGCUGGCGGCAUGCCUAAUACAUGCAAGUCGAGCGAACAGAUGAAGUGCUUGCACUUCUGACGUUAGCGGCGAACGGGUGAGUAACACGUAAGGAAUCUACCUAUAAGCGGGGGAUAACAUUCGGAAACGGGUGCUAAUACCGCAUAAUAUCUUCUUCCGCAUGGAAGAAGAUUGAAAGACGGCUCUGCUGUCACUUAUAGAUGACCUUGCGGUGCAUUAGUUAGUUGGUGGGGUAAUGGCCUACCAAGACGAUGAUGCAUAGCCGACCUGAGAGGGUGAUCGGCCACAUUGGGACCGAGACACGGCCCAAACUCCUACGGGAGGCAGCAGUAGGGAAUCUUCCGCAAUGGGCGAAAGCCUGACGGAGCAAUGCCGCGUGAGUGAAGAAGGCCUUCGGGUCGUAAAACUCUGUUAUAAGAGAAGAACAAAUUGUAGAGUAACUACUACAGUCUUGGCGGUAUCUUAUCAGAAAGCCACGGCUAACUACGUGCCAGCAGCCGCGGUAAUACGUAGGUGGCAAGCGUUGUCCGGAUUUAUUGGGCGUAAAGGGAGCGCAGGUGGUUUCUUAAGUCUGAUGUGAAAGCCCACGGCUUAACCGUGGAGGGUCAUUGGAAACUGGGAAACUUGAGUACAGAAGAGGAAUGUGGAACUCCAUGUGUAGCGGUGGAAUGCGUAGAUAUAUGGAAGAACACCAGUGGCGAAGGCGACAUUCUGGUCUGUUACCGACACUGAGGCUCGAAAGCGUGGGGAGCAAACAGGAUUAGAUACCCUGGUAGUCC